rnacentral:rRNA from 1 species
AAUGAACGCUGGCGGCGUGCCUAACACAUGCAAGUCGGAUGUGCCGCAAGGUGCAUGGCAGACGGGUGAGUAACGCGUGGGGAACCUACCUCUUCGUGGGGAAUAACGAUCCGAAAGGAUUGGUAAUACCGCAUGAGACCGACGGCUGGGAUGCUGUCGGUGAAAGCUGGGGACCGGAAACGGCCUGGCGCGAGGAGAGGGUCCUGCGUCUGAUUAGCUAGUUGGUGGGGUAACGGCCUACCAAGGCAUCGAUCAGUAGCCGGCCUGAGAGGGUGAUCGGCCACACUGGAACUGAGACACGGUCCAGACUCCUACGGGAGGCAGCAGUGGGGAAUUUUGCGCAAUGGACGAAAGUCUGACGCAGCAACGCCGCGUGGGUGGAUGAAGGUCUUCGGAUUGUAAAACCCUGUCGUCGGGGACGAAGGUAGGGGGGUUAAGUAGCCUGUGUGGAUGACGGUACCGGAAUAAGAAGCACCGGCUAACUACGUGCCAGCAGCCGCGGUAA